UUUAAGCUAUUAGCAAUUGGCCUUAAUCAUCUGGCGCCCCAGUUAUGAUUUCAGAAUUGCCCUCGUCAGAGUUUACCUGCUAGAACGAACGUUGCGGCGAUGAUCAGGCAGUCAAGGCGAGCGCCGCAGCAAGUCGGAGCGGGCGAACGGGGCAGGAAAGCAUUGGGAACCGUCCCGUGGGAGCGGGAGUGCCAGUUGUACGGAGUGGGAAGCCCGGGCGAAUUUAGCGGGCCGCAAUGCGUGCCUAAGAGAGUUAAGGCCACAGGAGGGGCAUAGUGCGGAGUAGCGAGGUUGGGGGGGAACGGCCCACCAAGGCGACGAAUCGUAGGGCGAGAGAGAGCACGACCCGCGUCACGUGCACGUAGACACCUGCCAGACUUCGACGGGAGGCUUCAGGCGAGGAGCCUCGGCAAGGGGGGCAACCCGGACCGAGCGACGCCGCGGGGACGACGAAGGCCUUCGGGUUGGAAAGGCCAAAGGCACCAAGGAAGACUGACGGAGGGACAGAAAGCACGGGCGAAGUUCGGGCCAGCAGCCGGGGUAAGACGAGCCGGGCAAACGGUGUUCGGAAUCACGGGGCGUAAAGGGCGCGUAGGCGGGGCGGCACGUCUGCGGGUGAAAGGCCACAGCACAACCGUGGCAAGG
rnacentral:rRNA from 1 species